rnacentral:rRNA from 1 species
AACGAACGCUGGCGGCAGGCCUAACACAUGCAAGUCGAACGCCCCGCAAGGGGAGUGGCGCACGGGUGAGUAACGCGUGGGAAUAUGCCCUUCGGUUCGGAAUAACACAGGGAAACUUGUGCUAAUACCGGAUACGAUCUACGGAUGAAAGAUUUAUCGCCGAGGGAGUAGCCCGCGUAGGAUUAGCUAGUUGGUGAGGUAAUGGCUCACCAAGGCGACGAUCCUUAGCUGGUCUGAGAGGAGGAUCAGCCACACUGGGACUAAGACACGGCCCAGACUCCUACGGGAGGCAGCAGUGGGGAAUAUUGGACAAUGGGCGAAAGCCUGAUCCAGCCAUGCCGCGUGAGUGAUGAAGGCCUUAGGGUUGUAAAGCUCUUUCGCCAGGGAAGAUAAUGACGGUACCUGGAAAAGAAGCCUCGGCUAACUCCGUGCCAGCAGCCGCCGUAAAAC